AUUAUUUUGAUCAAACAAGUGUCUUCUCUUCCACUUCCACUCUCUAUAAUCACACACAUGUAUUGCCUUUAAAUGGCAUUUCACUACUAUAUAUUAAUUCUUAUAAUCUUCUUUCUUUUGCCUUUGAAUUAUAAACACAAAUAACAAUUCACACGAAAUUAAGGAAUAAGUCUUGAAGGAUCUUGAAGGGACUUAUUAUAGAAGGUUGUGAGAACAAGAUUAAGAUUCAUCAUGCUAAGGGGUAAUUGGAUGCACCGUGAAUUCAUAAACUUGGUUACAAGAUAUAUGUGAUUAUAUUCUUGAAGUGUCAAUAAUCCUAAUCUUAAGGUUUGAUCCUUUCUCUUGACUUACAUAUUAUAUGAUAAUUACUUCGGUUAUUUUAUUGCUUGAAAAUAUUGUAGUCUUUGAAAAUAUUAGAAAAUUGAAAGGAAAUAGGUAAAAUGAAAAGAAAACAAUCUAGAACCAAUGAAACAAGACCCUCCAAAACUCUUAAAACUAGUAACCUCAUGGAGGGGAUAAAAAAUGAAUCUAUAGAAACUUCAACAAAAUCAAAUGAUAUCAACAAAAUUUUACAAUCAUUUGAACAAUUAAAAAUAGUUGAAAAGGAAAAUAAAAACAUACAAAAAUUAGAACCAGCAGAAACAAGUGAUGACAAUGAAGUAACAUUAGGUUAUACUACUUCAGAAGAAUUAGAUAAUGAAGAAGUAAUACUAGGUUACACUACUUCAGAAGAAUCAUACAUUAAUGAAGAGGAAGCAAAAUAUUGUAUUUCGUCGGAUGAAUUCGACCAUUUAGAACGUGAAGAAUCAAAUUAUGAUCAAAUAUUUAUAGAAAAAUGAGAAACAAACAUUGAUGAAGAAGAAAUAUAUUGUUGUAUUUCGUCAGAUGAAUACAACGAUUUAGACCGUGAAGAAUCAAAUUAUGAUCAAAUAUUUAUAGAAAAAGGAGAAACAAACAUUGAUGAAGAAGAAAUAUAUUGUUGUAUUUCGUCAGAUGAAUACAACGAUUUAGACCGUGAAGAAUCAAAUUAUGAUCAAAUAUUUAUAGAAAAAGGAGAAACAAACAUUGAUGAAGAAGAAAUAUAUUGUUGUAUUUCGUCAGAUGAAUACAACGAUUUAGACCGUGAAGAAUCAAAUUAUGAUCAAAUAUUUAUAGAAGAAGACUCAAAUUAUGAUCAAAUAUUUAUAGAAAAAGGAGAAACAAGUAAUUCUAAACGCAAAAGAAAAUGGAAAGAUUAUUGCGGUAAUUUUGAUAACUCAAGGGUUGUAUAUGAGAAUGAAAGUGAUGAAAUAAGGAACAAUAAGAAAUAUGCAACCUCUCAAAAGAAAAAAAGGAUAUGCAAGAAAAACAAUUAAAACAAGUGUGUUUAGUUCAAUGUUUGUGGUCUUGUACCAUUUUUCUUUCCUAGCUUUUACAUUAUUUUUAUUCUUUUUUGUUACAUAUAGUGUUAAUCUAAUUUUUCUUUUAGUUAUUUCAGCGUCAGCUGAGUAUUAUGACUACAUCUUCUUAGCUUGGGUUUUUAAGUUUUUUUAAUUAAGUUUUUAAUUAAAAAAUUUCAUAUUCUUUUUGGUCUUUUGUUAUCAGUAUAUAAAGGUUGUCUAUUUGGUUGGAGUUAGUUAAAAGAUAAUCCGAGUUCGAGUAAGUUGGCCGCUCAACAUGCAAUCCCACUAUCUUGGAAUGUCCUUUAGCUAACUCUAACAAAGUAGAGAACCUUUAUAAGUUGAUAUUUGUUCACAAAAUUUCCUCGUAUUUUCCGUGUAGAAAUUGCAGCAUACGGUGAUCAUUUUCGUUGGUCCAUUGUGAUUCCCUGCAUUUUCCAAAUUACUAGACGUAUCUUAAGAGAGAAGUUAUUCUAUGCCUUCACUCUUUUAUUGUGGUUUCAUUCACCAUAGUAUGGGUUAGUUUGUCUGAGUGAACAUAAUUCCAAUUUUUGAAUGUUUGCAUAACAAGCCAAUAUCUAGAAAAAUAAUAUGUUCCCAUACAAGUUAGGGUCGAGGGAUGCAGUUUCCUUGGAGUACGGUUUUGUUUUUAAUUUGGUUUGAGUGUACCAAGUACCAUGGUAUACUUUUGCUAUUGUGUUAUUGCAUUAAAAAAAAA